rnacentral:rRNA from 1 species
AGAACGAACGCUGGCGGCAGGCUUAACACAUGCAAGUCGAGCGCUGUAGCAAUACAGAGCGGCAGACGGGUGAGUAACGCGUGGGAACGUACCCCCCGGUUCGGAAUAACUCAGGGAAACUUGAGCUAAUACCGGAUACGGCUUAACGGCGAAAGAUUUAUCGCCGGGGGAUCGGCCCGCGUCCGAUUAGCUAGUUGGUGUGGUAAUGGCGCACCAAGGCGACGAUCGGUAGCUGGUCUGAGAGGAUGAUCAGCCACAUUGGGACUGAGACACGGCCCAAACUCCUACGGGAGGCAGCAGUGGGGAAUAUUGGACAAUGGGCGAAAGCCUGAUCCAGCCAUGCCGCGUGAGUGAUGAAGGCCUUAGGGUUGUAAAGCUCUUUCACCCACGACGAUAAUGACGGUAGUGGGAGAGAAGCCCCGGCUAACUUCGCGCCAGCAGCCGC